rnacentral:lncRNA from 10 species
AUGAUGGUUAUGCCAAUUUUUAGGGAAAAAAAUUAAGAAUUUACAUUAAAAACUAGUCAAGGGAAACCUAAGAUUUGGUUGGUUUGGUUUUUAAAAACUGCUCCAGAUGUUUAUUGCAGGUUUUUAUAAAAAUAGCAAUUGGGCCUAUAGUAACCCGAAAACAAAAUUAGAAUUAUGCAAUGUAAGCAAUUAUAGUGUGGAAGUACAAUGGUAUCUUUAGUACCUUAUAAUAUUUAGCCUUUUCCUUCUAUUUUCUAAAGGCAUCUAAUAUUUCCUAAUCCAGAAAUUUAUUCAUUCAACAAACAUAGUGCAAAUAUACCAGAGCCAGGCCUUGACCAAGAUGAAUGUGUAAGAAACAUCAAUGUAAACCACUCCUGCCAUUUAGGAACUGGUAGAGGUGAUUUAAUUUCAUUCAUUCAUCCAUUCAUUCAUUUAUUCCAUAAGGGUUUACACUGAGCACCCACUAUGUGCCAGACACAGUUCUAGGCAUUGGGAAUUGCAGUGAUGAAAUGCAACAAAAAUUCUUGCCUUCCUGAAGCUUGCAAUCAGGUUUAAUUUACAGUUAGAUGACAAUAAUUGAGAGGGGCAGUUUAGAGAUAAGAACAAGGAGCUGUAAGAUGUCAGAAUGACUCCUUUUGCCUGGAGCAGUUAGUUCAAGAUUCCAGAGAAGUGACUUUUGAGCUAGGGCUUGAGAGAUGAGCAGUAGGACACCAGCCAAGAAUGGGGACCAUCAUUCCAGACCAAGGGAGCACAGUCUGGAGGCACAGAUCUGGGGGAAUGUCCAUCACGGAGCUGGCUCCAAGACAACUUGAGAGAUCCAACGUGGCUAGGGGAGCUUAAUGAAUAUUAAAUUUUAAGGAAAUGUGUGUAUGAAAAGCAAUUUAAGAGUAUAAUUAUUUUCACAAAGAUCUGUAAUACUUACUUUUCCUAAACAACAAAAUUCCUAGUUAAAGAGCAUUCAUGCCUCAAGAUAAUAUCGUAAGUCAAAUUUAGUAACAGUUAUAGUAAUCUUUUAACAUUAUAAACCUUUUUCACUGGUAAUAUCUCAAACAAGGCUUAUGAAAACCUUAUGAUGAGGCACAGAAGUUGAUUACCUCCAUUUCUUUUUCUUUUCUUUUUUUUUUUGAGCCAGAGUCUUGUUCUGUCGUCCAGGUUGGAGUGCAGUGGCAUGGUCUCGGCUCACUGCAAGCUCCGCCUCCCGGUUUCACACCAUUCUCCUGUCUCAGUCUCCCAAGUAGCUGGGACUACAGGCGCCCACCACCAGGCCCAGCUGAUUUUUUUUUUUUUUUGUAUUUUUAGUAGAGAUGGGGUUUCACCGUGUUAGCCAGGAUGGUCUCGAUCUCCUGACCUCAGGAUCCGCCCGCCUCGGCCUCCCAAAGUGCUGGGAUUACAGGCGUGAGCCACCAUGCCUGGCCAAUUACCUCUGUUUUAUAGGGUUGGAAACUAAAAUUCAAGUUCAGUGGCUUGGUCUAGUAUAUGGUUAAGCUAGACCUUGAACUUACGCUUUUGCUGAAAAUAUCAUGCUCUUUCUACUACCAGAAUUUAGGGCCAAUUCAAGGAUUUUCAUAAAAUAUCAGGAAAAUGCUUUCAGGGAGCAAUAUAUCACAAAUGGCAUCAGGAAGAAAUCUAUAUAGAUUUACUUGUGCAGUUGGCAGAGAGAAUAAGGUCCAGGAGAGCAGACGGAAGUCAGCUAUCAGCAAACUGAAACAUCUCAAAUCCAGCAUAAUGAUUUCCUUAUUGAAGGGAGCCAGUCGAGAAGGAAAGACCAUCUUCCUUGUCAUCCAAGGUCCAAACACAUCUCCCUCUCCAACCCUCACCCAUCACCCCAUGCCAAAUUCAAUAUACCUAGAAGCAUCCUCCUCUUUGAAGUGAAUGCUUUAGCUCAAUGCCAUUCGCCUGUGUAGUAAACUGGCAAUCGUGCUUUGCUAUGUUUACAUGAGAAUUUAGCCACCACCCCCAGAUUCUAGUGCCAUCCCCAAGGCUGGCAUAAGUUAGCAUAAGAAUGGGAUGAUUAUGAAUUGGAACAAGCAGAGAUUGCUAAGUAUUUAAAUAAACAGGUUAAGUAAUGUUAAGGGAUUGGAAAACAGUGCAGGAUAGGAUGCUGUGCUGGAUCCAAAGCUAUUGUCCAGGGUCAAAGGCUGAGAAUCAGCUGAAGAGUCCUAGGUAAGCCCAUGUGAAGGGGACUGAGUUCAGAAUAAGGCAGGCAGGCAGGGGAGGAAUGGCAAAACAAAAGAAAACAAUGUUAUGCAGUCAUCACUCCAGGAGGCUAUGAAUCCCAACAGGCAGGCUGAGCAACAGAGGUGAGGAACCCAGGGUAAGAACCACCAACACUACCACCAUCACCACCACCAUCGUUGCCAUCUCCACCACAGCUACCAUCAGCACCCCCCCAUUUAUACCAAUACCACCAUCACCAUUACCAACAUCACCACCAUCACCGCUUUACCACCAUCGCCGCCACCAGCACCCUCACCACUACCAUCAUGGCAUAAUCACUACUACCAUUCCCACCCUCCUCUCCGCCAUCACCAACAUCACCAUCAUCACCACCAGCAGCACCACCACCAUAACCAUCACCAAGCCAUCGUGGCAUAAUCACUACUAUCACUACUACUGUCCCCACCCUCCUCUCCGCCAUCACCACCAUUACCGCUACUGCCACCACCAUCACCACCAGCAGCACCACCACAACCGUCACCACUGUCACCACAGCAUAAUCACUACUACCGUCCCCACCCUCCUCUCCACCAUCACCAUCACCCCCUCACCAUUACCACCUCUAUCAUCACCAUCACCCCCUCACCAUUACCACCUCUAUCAUCACCAUCACCCCCUCACCAUUACCACCUCUAUCAUCACCAUCACCCCCUCACCAUUACCACCUCUAUCAUCACCAUCACCUUCACCUCCACCCAACCCUUACCAAGCACCAUCACCAUCCUACAGUCACCACUAUUGCCCCAUCUUCAUCAUCACCACCCCUGCCCUGACACCCAGGACCAUCAACAGCACCAUCAUAACCACUAAUAUCACCGUGAUCACCACAACCACCCUCACUGCCAUCACCAGUAUUACCAUCAUCACUCUAGGAUGUUCCCCCAACAAACAGAGAAACAGGCAGAGGCUUUAAAAUGUCAGACUUCCCACCAGUCUCUGAAAGUGGAAGGCAAAUACCGAUACAUAUUAUGGCCACCACCCUGCUUGAAAAGAAGAGCUACAGUGAGAUGUGCUUUUAAAUAGAAUAAUUUGCAUCCAAUAUCUACAUAUAUUAUUUCAUUUUUCAAAAUUCUGACACCAUCCUACAAGGCAGGCAUUAUCAUCCUUAUUUCACAUUAUUACUUGCCUAAGGUCACACAAACAGAAAGUGAUAGAACAUGGACUCAGUCCAUUCACCUGAUGCCACAACUGAUUCCAUCAACAGCUCUGCUGGUGUUGCUUCUGAAGAAAAUUAAGUCACAACCAAGUCCUUGGGAGGUUCACUGUCAAUGGGAGAGAGACCUGUAAACAUAUCACUGCAAAACAAUGUGAGAGUUACUCUGAGCGUAUUAAGGGAGGAAGAAACAAAUCCUGCCCAGGAGUGUCAGAUGAGGCUGUACAGAGGCUGUGACAUAUAUGCAAUCAUGAAGAAAAGGAGUUAAGAGUCACCAGAAAAAGCAACAGAAGGGAGAGCAUUCCAGGUGGAGACCAGCCAACCUGAAGGACACGGGCAGUGUGGACUCACUGUUGCUGGCUCUGCUGACUUUCCCACGUUUGACUUGGCCUGAGAGCCUCAGGUCUGGUCAGCUGAGCCAUACACCCCUCAGCCACACACACAGACUCCUGCUAAGCCUAGCCUUGCCCUGCCUCCAGCUCAAAUUCCAGAGCCCAAUAAGUCUUUGCCUCCUGAGGAGGUCUGGGACUAAAAGAUCUCAACUACAGGAACUCAGGCAUCGAAUACUGGGCCCCAGACCAAAGCAUCAGCCACCAGAAGAUUAAGAGCUGAGGCCAAAGUCAGUGCUGCCCACAGUCUCCCUGGAUGCUCUCUAUUAGGGUGGAAACUGUCCUGAAGCAGGUCAAGGAUGAGGCAUCCAAACAAAACGAGAGUAAAAUAUUUGCUCACCUGCAUUUCACCAAACUGUAGCUAAUAUCCCUGAAAUCCUGUCACCUAAUUCAGUGUGUGGGGUAUGCAUUUUGUCAUAAGGUCUUUUUGCAAAGUAGAUUAGGAAGGAACUUGCUGAAAGCUAGUAGGCCUUGGCAGGAGCUAAUAAGGAGGACAUGUGAUUACCACCUCUUUUCUUUUUUUUUUUUUUUUUUUUUUUUGAGACAGAGUCUAGCUCUGUCACCCAGGCUGGAGUGCAGUGGUGCAAUCUCGGCUCACUGCAACCUCUGCCUCCCAGGUACAAGCAAUUCUCUGCCUCAGCCUCCCGAGUAGCUGAGAUUACAGGCUCCUGACACCACACCUGGCUAAUUUUUUGGGUUUUUUUUUUUUUUUUUGUAUUUUUUUGUAGAGAUGGGGUUUCACCAUGUUGGUCAGGCUGGUCUUGAACUCCUGACCUUGUGAUCCACCCGCCUCGGCCUCCCAAAGUGCUGGGAUUAUAGGCAUGAGCUACUGCGCCUGGCCGCUUUUCAUUUUUGUCCAUGCAAGAAGUCACUGUAGUUUGUGUUUGGGCUCGAAACUAUGGGUCCAUGGACAUCUCUUUACAUAGUUUCAGGUAAACUCCAAAUUACUUUCUGAGAAGACCCUCAGCCCUUGAAUCAUCUCUAAGCCUUCUUUUCAGGCACACGUAUUAAAAGAUAUCUUAAUUCUUAAAGGAAGACAUCCUGUCUAUCCUUGUGUAAUACCUCACUCAGCUGAUAAUAAAGACUAGGACCUACCCAGAUACUGAUCUCAAAAGUCACUGUCAUUCUGUUCAAUUUUCAGUUAAUAUUUACUAAACUUAUAUGGCGUUCCUGAUGCCUAUUCUGUCAACCUGGAAAGUGCAAUGACAAGGAUGUACCAGUUCUUUGCCUCUUUGGAGCUUACAUUCCAGUGAGAAUUGACAGAAAUGAGUAAGUGAAAAGAAAACUACAGAAGGUAAAUUCUGAUAGUAAUGGAAUGUGACAGAGAGUAAGCAGGGAGGGGGGCUGGCCGCCAUGGACUGAGCAGCCAGGGGAGGUCUCUCUAAAAAGGUAAUGUUUGGGUUGGGGAAUGAAAGAGCCAGCCAUCUAGAGAGCUCAGGAAGGAGCAUUCCAGAAGGAGAGCAGAAGUGCUAAGGCCUGGAGGCAGGACUAAUCUUGGCUUAUUAAAAGAACAUAAAGAGCCGAGCACAGUGGCUCAUGCCUGUAAUCCCAGCACUUUGGGAGGCCGAGGUGGGUGGAUCACCUGAGAUUAGGAGUUCAAGACCGGCCUGGCCAAAAUGGCGAAACCUUGUCUCUACUAAAAUAUAAAAAUUGGCCAGGCACGGUGGCUCAUGCCCGUAAUCACAACACUUUGGGAGGCCGAGGCACAUGGAUCAUGAGGUCAAGAGUUCGAGACCAGCCUGACCA